rnacentral:rRNA from 1 species
UACGGGGGGGGCAAGCGUUGUUCGGAAUUACUGGGCGUAAAGGGCUCGUAGGCGGCCAACUAAGUCGGAUGUGAAAUCCCCAGGCUUAAUCUGGGAACUGCAUCCGAUACUGGAUGGCUUGAAUCCGGGAGAGGGAUGCGGAAUUCCAGGUGUAGCGGUGAAAUGCGUAGAUAUCUGGAGGAACACCGGUGGCGAAGGCGGCAUCCUGGACCGGCAUUGACGCUGAGGAGCGAAAGCCAGGGGAGCAAACGGG